UACGUAGGGUCCGAGCGUUGUCCGGAAUUAUUGGGCGUAAAGAGCUCGUAGGCGGUCUGUCGCGUCUGCUGUGAAAACCUGGGGCUUAACCCCGGGCCUGCAGUGGGUACGGGCAGACUGGAGUACUGCAGGGGAGACUGGAAUUCCUGGUGUAGCGGUGGAAUGCGCAGAUAUCAGGAGGAACACCGGUGGCGAAGGCGGGUCUCUGGGCAGUAACUGACGCUGAGGAGCGAAAGCGUGGGGAGCGAACAGG
rnacentral:rRNA from 1 species